CUAGCUACAACUACAAGAUAUCAAACUUCCUUGGAAAAAAAACUUUAGGUCAAAAUCCUGGUAAUGCGAAACCCAAUUCCCAACCCCCAAUUUCCAAAUUCAUGCUUCUUCCUUCAGCAAUUCGAACUUCCUGCUGCCCGUCAAACAUCUUAGAUAUCAUUAUUAACAUGGAUUAAUCCAUUCUCAAAGUUCCAUUAAUGGGGGUUUUCUUUCUCAUAUCGAUCAGUUCUUUGAAUGCAUCAUCCACCAAUUUGAGGUGCCACACUUUUAACAUUUUUCUAUUCAUUACAAUCAUAAUAUAUUUGGGUUUUUGUUUGAUGCUUAAUUAUAUGAUUUUAGUUGAUUUACUUUUUAUUAGGGAGUUUUGUUGAAUGAUUAUAGACCUUGGACUACAGGUUCACAUUAUUUGGUAUGGUAGCUCAAUUGAUGAUUUUGAUAUUUAAGUAAUGGGUAAUCUUUUGUGCUUAUCAAUGAGCUUUAAAAACUUAAAAUUGAUAGCUAUUAAGGGUUUUUGAGUAUGAUUAAAUUGUUAGCUUUUCCUAUAAAAUGAAGUAUUUUUCAAAUGCAGUAGCUGUAGAACUUUAAUGCAACAUUGCUGUGGUAUUCACAUAUUUUUUCAUGUUUUAUGUGGUGUGGAAUUAUGAAGUGUUUAUGAGUCAUAUGUUUGAGUUCCUUUUGAUUACUUGAUGGGAUUUGAUAAUUGGAUGUUCAUCACCAUCAUACCCAGUGUAUCAUGCUUAUAAUUGGUUAUAUGAAUGAUAUGCUACAAUCCAAUAUGAUUAACUGAACAUUGGUGAUAGUGAAUGAUACUGAGACUUUCAGAGUGAAAAGGUUCUAAGGUAGGGUUUUGGGAUGGUGAGCAAAUAUAUGCUAAUUGGCAAGUAUUUCCUUUGGAUUUUAUUAGUUGUUAUAGCUCCUUAGCAACUACUGUUUAUCAAUUGAUCUUAUUUUGUAUAUAUUUCUCCAUGUAUUAAGUAAAACAUAGUCAAAUAGGAUCUUGUUUGAUUUGUCUUAAUGCGUAUUUUCAUAAUUUUAACUUUUAAGAAUUUUUCAUAUGAAAUUAAAGAUAUUAAAGAUUAAUCGCGCAUUCGAUAGCGUGAAAAACAGAAUUGUAGCAACUAUUAAAAACAAGAGGAAGUACUUUUUUUCUAAAUUAUUACCUUUAUAAAUUUUUUCAUCCCGCCCUCUAAUGAUAAUUACUUCUAUGUCCCAAAUAUUUGAAACCUUUAUAAUUUUUGAAUACUUUUAUUAUAUAAUCCAAUUCAAAAAUUCUCAACUUUCUGAUGCUCCAUAUGAAUCCAAUCGGAAAUAGUAGGAAAUUAAUCCAAAUUGCUUAAUCAAUUCAGAUAAGAUUGGAUUUUUGUUCAUGUCCGAACAAUUUUCAUCCAUAAUCAUAUGUAUUGUGUGCACCUGCGUCUGCGAGUGUGAUGAAGAGUAACAAAAAACACUCCACUAAGAUAAUGGAGGUCAAUUUUUGUGAAGUAGAUGUAUUUGUUGAUCAUUUGGAGAAGCUUUUUUGAAAAUAUCCUGAUUUUAUUGAUGUCUAGUUAAAAAGAAUCAAUACACUGUGCUUUUUAUUUUGCAUUUGUUUGUUCCAUUUGUGUCUUAAAGGAUAUAGGCAUCUCUAGUUAGUCGGUGAUAGCUUUGACUAUGAAGAACUCAUCAAUAGGUUUAGAUUUCAGAUUAAAGGACAGAGAGUUUCCUGAUCUUUAUAGCAAAAUGUUAUGUCAUGGGUCAGAAAAUCGGAGUUGUGACUUGUAAGUUACGGGUUUCUUGGCACUGCUUACUAUGGUCUAAAAGGAAUUAAGAGAAUUACGUCUCUAUUACAGUCUCGAUUACGGACCCAUAUCCAACACUGUACAUAUCUGAUGCUAUACAGAUUACAGGGUAAAAACAUGUACCCGUAUGUUGGAACUUCAAUUUUUUUUUUCCGUCUCCAUACUUGCUCUUGUCUCAAUGCAACCUAGGCUAUUAGAGUUUCCAAAUGUGACACUUGUUUCGAUCGAUGCUUCUCUUUAAGUCCAGGAUAUUAUAGUAUUUCCUUCCUUGUACUACUAGUAUUUAUUAACCUUUUUAUUAGCCUGUACAGCUGUUUCGAUGCGCAUUUCUUAAAUGAUGACAUAGUUCGCAAAAAUGAGCGAGCGCCGAAGCGAACAUUGCAUUGUUUUAGUGUCAAUGCUUGAGUCCAUUUGUAGCAAAAAGGCUAAGAUAGAAAAUUUACUGCUUGAUUUUGGGUGAAUUUGGUUUUAGGAAUUUUGUUUCUCAGCUGCAGUUUAGUUUAUACGUCCUUGAGAAUCAACAUGAAUUAACUUGUGCAUAGUUAUAAUCUGCUAAUAGUGAAAUAUGUCCAUUAGAAAACAACAUGACAAGAAAUGUAUAAAUGUACUACCUGCUGCCUGCUGGAGCUUGACUUUUGGGUUAGUAGCAUUUGAAUUUAGCUGCCCGAGAGAAAAGUAAGUCAGGUUUUGGAUGGCGUUUGGGAUUGUAUGUUUUUCUAGUUGUAAUUCGUAAGUAAAUCAAGUCUGAAAAUGUAUGAAAAAGGAGGAUCGACAUAGAUUCAUGAGGGGAAGAAGUCAUAAUGGAAGAGAAUAACUGCAGGAGGGUUAGAUACUGUUGUAAAUUAAGUUCUAAAAAAGGUAACAAGUAUCCGAGUUUUGCUCAGGGCUUCAUAUUUUUGAUGUUAAUGCUCGUUCUGACUUUAUGUUCAUUGAAUAUUACUGCUUAGCUUCCAUUGUUAAGGAAAUAUUGUACGAAUUAGAAAAAUCAUUUUAGUUUUGGAAUUAUUAUAUGUGAUCAAAUUCUCUUUUUCCUUGUUGUACAAGAUGAGAUAGAUUAACUUGUUUCACGAGAACUCUCUUCCUCUCUUCCUUUCUCCCCAUUCCACGUUUAAGAAAUCUUCCACUGAAUAAUGCACCAUUAAGACAGUAUAGGCUGUUAGAAGCUUCAAUUCCCAACUUCCAGAGCUAGUAAUUUGAUCUUUUUUUGCGAUGGAAUUUGAACUCUAUGAUAGGUUUUUCAAUAGUCGUGUUUCCCUCGAAUUACGCUGAGCAUCUAUCUAAGUAAUCGGAUGUAACUUUGAGUUCAGUUUUCAUCUAUUUGGAGCCACUGGUAAUAGCCUAGGUAUUGCUUUGAUUACUGAACUGCUUAAAGUGAUUAAUGAACAGCUUGAAGUGAGGAAUGGCGUCUAGGAGGCUUUAUUGCUUCGUUUAUAUGUAGCUUGACAUGGCACAUCCGGACUUGAUCAAAUAGCUCGGAAAAUCAUGAAGUCAUGCGACUAACCAUAAAGAAGAAAAGGAAGAGAUCUAAAUGCCAAUUUAUGAUUCAUAUUUAGUCGGUGAUUCACCAGAAUAGUCUCUGCCGAGUUGGAGCUGAGAGGCGAGGAACGAGGAGGAAGUGGCUAAGGUAAGUCAUGGUGCGCCCACGCAAAAUUAGGAAACAAAUGGGCAGAAAAUGCAAAUUAGCUACCGGGAAGAACUGAUAUAAGAGAAGGCAUUUCUUCAACAGAAAAUGAAGAUCGACUCCUACGAGCUUAUUAUGCACCCAUUUCCUGAUUUCAGUUUUGAUCCUCCAAUUCAAUAUUUUCGACCGUCCAUGGAACAUAAAAGCCGCCAUUGAUGGACACCAAUAAUUGUACGAGUAAUAAUUGUACAAGUAACAAUGUCAAAGAAGAGAUUGGUCGUCUAUCUUCUAAACCAUGCACUCACUGAUGACAAUUAUGACGCGACUUCUUGGACAAGGAUUAUUCGAGAAUCUUGAGUCCAAUGAUGUUGCGAACCGAGAAGAAAAAAGAUCUAGAUUUGGCCGAGAAGUGUAAAACUGGUUAUAGAAAACAUGGUUUCAUUCAAACUUAGGUAGGGGAAGAUAGUUAGCUCAGUCUGAGUUAGAACAUCAUUUUAAGUUUUCACCCUUUUCAAUGUUGUAUUUUUAGCUUCUUUUUCUUUAGACUUUUGAUACUUAUACUAUUUCAGUGAUUUUGCUAUAUUUUGUUGACAGUCUAUUUUUUAUUUAUAUUUUAUUCUUAAUUUAUAAGUUAAAACAUAUUUAAGUGUAAUCUUGUUUGAUUUGCCUUAAGUAAGGAUUAUUUAUAUUAACUUUUUAUAAUUUUUAGUUAUGCGCAACUAAAGAUAUUAAGGCUUUAAUAAUAUACUGAAACUAAA